rnacentral:rRNA from 1 species
UAGGGAAUCUUCCACAAUGGGCGCAAGCCUGAUGGAGCAACACCGCGUGAGUGAAGAAGGGUUUCGGCUCGUAAAGCUCUGUUGUUAAAGAAGAACACGUAUGAGAGUAACUGUUCAUACGUUGACGGUAUUUAACCAGAAAGUCACGGCUAACUACGUGCCAGCAGCCGCGGUAAUACGUAGGUGGCAAGCGUUAUCCGGAUUUAUUGGGCGUAAAGAGAGUGCAGGCGGUUUUCUAAGUCUGAUGUGAAAGCCUUCGGCUUAACCGGAGAAGUGCAUCGGAAACUGGAUAACUUGAGUGCAGAAGAGGGUAGUGGAACUCCAUGUGUAGCGGUGGAAUGCGUAGAUAUAUGGAAGAGCACCAGUGGCGAAGGCGGCUACCUGGUCUGCAACUGACGCUGAGACUCGAAAGCAUGGGUAGCGAACAGGAUUAGAUACCCUGGUAGUCCAUGCCGUANCGAUGAGUGCUAGGUGUUGGAGGGUUUCCGCCCUUCAGUGCCGGAGCUAACGCAUUAAGCACUCCGCCUGGGGAGUACNANCGCAAGGUU